rnacentral:lncRNA from 1 species
GUUUCCUCCGUAGCUUCCAACGUCACCUCCUCCUUAGCCACCUCCCUCACGGCCACCACUACCGUAUCCUUUUCCACCACAACCUCUGCUAUGUCUCUCGUAAUCACCACCGCCUCCUCCAUUUCCGCCACCACCUCCUCCGUAUUCAUUACCGCCUCCGCUGCGGUAUCUGCCACCACCUCCACCACGGGUUCCUCCACCGCCUUGAGCAAAUGGGUGGCUGUGUUUGCAGAGACCUCCAUCUCCAAGACCUUAUGGACAUGGCACUUUGGUUUCUUUCCAAACCACGAGACCUCCAUCUCCAAGACCUUAUGGACAUGGCACUUUGGUUUCUUUCCAAACCACGGUUAAUCGAAUCUCCUGUUAUUAUGAACAUGGUAUAUAGAAUGGAUAUGAAUCAAUAAAAGGUUUCUGAAUGGAUAUAUAUAAAUAGACUCGUUAUUAUGGACAUCAAAAAAUUGUUUGUUGAUUUUUCUUUCAGUUUGUAGAGACCUCCACUUCCAAGACCUUAUGGACAUGGAACUUUGGUUUCUUUACAAACCACGAUUAAUCGAAUCUCUUGUUAUUAUGGACAUGGUAUAUAGAAUGGAUAUAGAUUGGUAAAAAGGUUUCCGAAUGGAUAUAUUU